rnacentral:ncRNA from 1 species
UGUCUGUAAAUAUGCGCGGGCAUCCUGAAUCUUUUUAAUACGCAUAUUGGAGAAAGUAACAUGGCACUGAGUGCAGAAGAAAAAGCAGCAAUCGUAUCCGAGCAU